UACGGGGGGGGUUAGUGUUAUUCAUCAUUACUGGGCGUAAAGGGCUCGUAGGCGGCCAACUAAGUCAGACGUGAAAUCCCCAGGCUCAACCUGGGAACUGCGUCUGAUACUGGAUGGCUUGAAUCCGGGAGAGGGAUGCGGAAUUCCAGGUGUAGCGGUGAAAUGCGUAGAUAUCAGGAGGAACACCGAUGGCGAAGGCAGAUCUCUGGGCCUUACCUGACGCUGAGGAGCGAAAGCGUGGGGAGCGAACAGG
rnacentral:rRNA from 1 species